rnacentral:rRNA from 1 species
AUGGCCAUACACAACCCUGACUUGGCCAAGGAAGUGUUGUCCAACAAAUUCGGCCACUUUGAGAAAGUCAAGUUUCCGCCACUGUCCAGGCUGCUUGCCGCAGGCCUGGCGGAACACGAGGGCGAGAAAUGGGUCAAGCAUAGAAGGAUCCUUAACCCUGCGUUCCACCUGGAGAAGCUCAAGGAAUUAAGUCUCAUGCUGCCAGCGUUGUCUACAAGCUGCGAAGAACUUGUCAAUAGAUGGACGCGGUCCCUUGGCUCAGACGGUACCUAUGAGUUGGAUGUCUUCCCGGAGUUCCAAAGACUCACUGGAGAUGUCAUUUCUCGCACCGCAUUUGGCAGUAACUACCUCGAAGGUGCCAGGGUUUUCCAGCUGCAAUCCGAGCAAGUUGAACGCAUUGCCGGGGCUUGGAAGAUUGGCAUUCCCGGUUACUUGUCCUUGCCCACCAAAAAUAAUAGAAAGAUGCAUCAAAAUAAUAGUGAAAUUGAAUCCAUUCUACAUGGUUUAAUUGGAAAAAGAAUGCAAGCUAUGCAAGAAGGAGAAAAUACCAAAGAGGACUUACUUAGCUUGAUGCUUGAGUCAAACAUGAGGACCUCAGAUGACAACGGCCAAUUCAUCUCAGGAAUGACCAUUAAAGAGGUGACCUUGAUUCUUUAUGAGGUACUCUGGUUGUACUCGCCUGCUGUCGCAUUCUUCCGUAAAACAUACAAGGAGAUAAAGAUUGGGGGCAUCACAUACCCCGCCGAUGUUCUCAUUGAGCUUCCCCUGUUGUUAAUGAACCAUGACCCAGAUAUAUGGGAAGGGGACGUACAUGAGUUCAAGCCGGAGAGGUUCACCAACGGGAUCUCCCAGGCAUCCAAGAAUCCCGGUGCAUUCCUACCAUUCAGUUGGGGGCCACGUAUCUGCAUUGCCCAACAGUUCGCCCUUCUUGAGGCUAAGAUGGCGUUUUGCAUGAUCCUUCAAUGCCUUGAGUUUGAGCUCGCACCGUCAUACACUCAUGCCGUAAAUAACACCAGACUGAUGCGCCCAAUGCAUGGUGCGCAAAUCAAGCUUAGGGCAAUUUGA